rnacentral:rRNA from 1 species
AAGUUCCUACGGGGCGCAGCAGUGAGGAAUAUUGGUCAAUGGGCGAGAGCCUGAACCAGCCAAGUCGCGUGAGGGAAGACGGUCCUAUGGAUUGUAAACCUCUUUUGUCGGGGAGCAAAAAGGCCUCGUGAGGCCACAAGUGAGAGUACCCGAAGAAAAAGCAUCGGCUAACUCCGUGCCAGCAGCCGCGGUAAUACGGAGGAUGCGAGCGUUAUCCGGAUUUAUUGGGUUUAAAGGGUGCGCAGGCGGGCCUUUAAGCCGGCGGUGAAAUCGCGGGGCUCAACCCCGCCGAGCCGUCGG